UGAGGAAUAUUGGUCAAUGGCCGAGAGGCUGAACCAGCCAAGUCGCGUGAGGGAUGACGGCCCUACGGGUUGUAAACCUCUUUUGUCGGGGAGCAAGACCCGCCACGAGUGGCGGAGCGAGAGUACCCGAAGAAAAAGCAUCGGCUAACUCCGUGCCAGCAGCCGCGGUAAUACGGAGGAUGCGAGCGUUAUCCGGAUUUAUUGGGUUUAAAGGGUGCGCAGGCGGACCAUCAAGUCAGCGGUAAAAUCGUGGGGCCCAACCCCAUCCCGCCGUUGAAACUGGCGGUCUUGAGUGAGCGAGAA
rnacentral:rRNA from 1 species